GAUAGCUCAAGGGUAGAGAGUCUGCUUUGAAUGCCGAAGGUCGCAGGUUCGAUUCCCGGCAACUCCA